rnacentral:rRNA from 1 species
GACGAACGCUGGCGGCGUGCUUAACACAUGCAAGUCGAACGGUGAAAGCGGAGCUUGCUCCGCUGGAUCAGUGGCGAACGGGUGUGUAACACGUGGGCAACCUGCCCCUCACUUCGGAAUAACCCCGGGAAACCGGGGCUAAUACCGGAUAUGACCUCCUUGGGCAUCCUUGGAGGUGGGAAUGUUUUCGGUGAGGGAUGGGCCCGCGGCCUAUCAGCUUGUUGGUGAGGUAGUGGCUCACCAAGGCGACGACGGGUAGCCGGCCUGAGAGGGCGAACGGCCACACUGGGACUGAGACACGGCCCAGACUCCUACGGGAGGCAGCAGUGGGGAAUAUUGCGCAAUGGGCGAAAGCCUGACGCAGCAACGCCGCGUGCGGGAUGACGGCCUUCGGGUUGUAAACCGCUUUCAGCAGGGAAGAAGCCGCAAGGUGACGGUACCUGCAGAAGAAGCACCGGCUAACUACGUGCCAGCCGCCGCCGUAA